GCCCGCCCCCGCCGCCGCCAUUGGGCGGGCAGUGUGAGUGACGGACAGAGGGCGGGGCGCGGAGCUCCGGCCAUGGGCACGUGACUUGAUAGGCGCAAGGGCCGGGGGCAAGGUUGUCUGCAAGGACGGCCUCCGCGCUACGUGGGGAGUGGGGCUGGGGCGCGCAGAACGCCUGCACUUGUGGACUCUGGAGGCGUGUCGCUCCACGACCUGCCCCUGGGCAAGAUGCGGCGUCACUCCUUAAGAACGCUGAGCCACGAGCGCUGGUGCUCUCCAAAGCAGAAGGGUUCCGAGGCGCAGGUGCUGACUUUGGAACGCCGACCAACCCGAAGAUGUGAUUGGACAGAUCUGUCAACAUUCAUAGCGAGAACCAUUCCCUAAGAUUGGUUGAACGCCUGUCAGACCUUGUAGUGGCUGCUCAGGGCCUCCUGCCUUUUAAUUCUCCAAGUACACCUAAGCUUUAGGCAUUAUACCAGGCAUGCACUCACAGGAAGCCUGGUCAAUGGAGGGUCCAGGAAAGAAUGAGAGAUUCUGGAGAACAGAAGUGCUGCAGGGUUAGCAGUAGGGGGGGGGAGGAGAACAUAAAGGAUGGGUGGCUUUUCUCGUGGAAGUGCUAGAGGUAGAGGGGAAAAGUAGGAUCUGUGGAAUGGUGAUGGCGAGGAAAGAUU